UACGAAGGGGGCUAGCGUUGUUCGGAAUUACUGGGCGUAAAGCGCGUGUAGGCGGGUCUUUAAGUCAGGGGUGAAAUGCCAAGGCUCAACCUUGGAACUGCCUUUGAUACUGGAGAUCUUGAGUCCGGGAGAGGUGAGUGGAAUUGCGAGUGUAGAGGUGAAAAUUCGUAGAUAUUCGCAAGAACACCAGUGGCGAAGGCGGCUCGA
rnacentral:rRNA from 1 species